UGGGGGAUAUUGCACAAUGGGCGAAAGCCUGAUGCAGCGACGCCGCGUGGGGGAUGAAGGCUUUCGGGUUGUAAACCUCUUUCGCUAUCGAACAAGGCCCGCUUAGGGUGGGUUGAGGGUAGGUGGAGAAGAAGCGCCGGCUAACUACGUGCCAGCAGCCGCGGUAAUACGUAGGGCGCGAGCGUUGUCCGGAAUUAUUGGGCGUAAAGGGCUUGUAGGCGGCUUGUUGCGCCUGCUGUGAAAACGCGGGGCUUAACUUCGCGCGUGCAGUGGGUACGGGCAGGCUUGAGUGUGGUAGGGGUGACUGGAAUUCCAGGUGUAGCGGUGGAAUGCGCAGAUAUCUGGAGGAACACCGAUGGCGAAGGCAGGUCACUGGGCCAUUACUGACGCUGAGGAACGAAAGCGUGGGUAGCAAACAGG
rnacentral:rRNA from 1 species